rfam:Turnip crinkle virus isolate TK, complete genome.
AGAAAACAAAAACCCCCAGGUCGCUUUAUUUUGACCUGUGUUAGGGACCA